GAGAAUCCCGUCUUUGACUCAGUGCUAUGUUACUAUGUGAUACGUUUUCAANGAGUCGAGUUNUUNGGGAAUGCAGCUCAAAANGNGUGGUAAAUUUCAUCUAAGGCUAAAUAUUGGCGAGAGACCGAUAGCGAACAAGUACCGUGAGGGAAAGAUGAAAAGAACUUUGAAAAGAGAGUUAAACAGUGCGUGAAAUUGUUGAAAGGGAAACGUUUGACACCAGCUAUGUAGGCGGAAAAUCAGUCAACUGCAGUGAGGGGUUGGUAUGGGUCCGGACCGCAAGGCCGGCUUAUGCCUCAUCUUUGUUGCAAGUGAUGCACUUUUUCGUCCGCAGGUCAACAUCAGUUUCGCUCGCUGGACAAAACCCCAAGAGAAGGUAGCAGCUUAGGCUGUGUUAUAGCUCUGGGGCGAUACAGUGGGUGGGACUGAGGAUUCGCAGUGUGUGCUCUCGGGCAAGGCUGACUGGGUGCUCUGAGGUUGUUUGGCGUACAAUGCUUGCAUUUUGCGUCUUGUCUUCUUCAUACUCGCUCAAAUCAGCUCUUCCACGCUUAGGAUGUUGACUUAAUGGUUUUAAACGACC
rnacentral:rRNA from 1 species